CCCUUAGAUGUCCUGGGCUGCACGCGCGCUACACUGAUGUGUCCAGUAAGCACCUAACCUAUUCCGAGAGGAGCGGGUAACCUUAGCAAAGCACAUCGUGAUGGGGAUAGAUUAUUGCAAUUAUUAGUCUUGAACGAGGAAUUCCUAGUAAGCACAAGUCAUCAGCUUGUGUUGAUUACGUCCCUGCCCUUUGUACACACCGCCCGUCGCUACUACCGAUUGAAUGGUUUAGUGAGAUCUUCGGAUUGGCGCCACUGCGGCUCAGCAAUGGGCUCGGUGGAUGCCGAAAAGUUGAUCAAACUUGAUCAUUUAGAGGAAGUAAAAGUCGUAACA
rnacentral:rRNA from 1 species